GUGAAAUUCUUUGGAUUUAUUGAAGACUAACUACUGCGAAAGCAUUUGCCAAGGAUGUUUUCAUUAAUCAAGAACGAAAGUUAGGGGAUCGAAGACGAUCAGAUACCGUCGUAGUCUUAACCAUAAACUAUGCCGACUAGGGAUCGGAUGAUGUUAAUUUUUUAAUGACUCA
rnacentral:rRNA from 1 species